GAUGAACGCUGACAGAAUGCUUAACACAUGCAAGUCAACUUGAACUUCGGUUUGGGUGGCGGACGGGUGAGUAACGCGUAAAGAACUUGCCUCACAGCUAGGGACAACAUUUGGAAACGAAUGCUAAUACCUGAUAUUAUGAUUAUAUGGCAUCGUAUAAUUAUGAAAGCUAUAUGCGCUGUGAGAGAGCUUUGCGUCCCAUUAGCUAGUUGGAGGGGUAACAGCUCACCAAGGCGAUGAUGGGUAGCCGGCCUGAGAGGGUGAUCGGCCACAAGGGGACUGAGACACGGCCCGUACUCCGACGGGAGGCAGCAGUGGGGAAUAUUGGACAAUGGACCGAGAGUCUGAUCCAGCAAUUCUGUGUGCACGAUGAAGUUUUUCGGAAUGUAAAGUGCUUUCAGUUGGGAAGAAAAAAAUGACGGUACCAACAGAAGAAGUGACGGCUAAAUACGUG
rnacentral:rRNA from 1 species